CCUACGGGAGGCAGCAGUGAGGAAUAUUGGUCAAUGGACGCAAGUCUGAACCAGCCAUGCCGCGUGCAGGAAGACGGCUCUAUGAGUUGUAAACUUCUUUUGUACGAGGGUAAAUCCUGAUACGUGUAUCGGGUUGAAAGUAUCGUACGAAUAAGGAUCGGCUAACUCCGUGCCAGCAGCCGCGGUAAUACGGAGGAUCCAAGCGUUAUCCGGAUUUAUUGGGUUUAAAGGGUGCGUAGGCGGUUCGAUAAGUUAGAGGUGAAAUCUCGGGGCUCAACUGCGGAACUGCAUUUGAUACUGGCAGGCUAGAGUAUAGUAGAGGUAGGCGGAAUGUGUGGUGUAGCGGUGAAAUGCUUAGAGAUCACACAGAACACCGAUUGCGAAGGCAGCUUACCGGACUACGACUGACGUUGAGGCACGAAAGCGUGGGGAGCAAACAGGAUUAGAUACCCUAGUAGUC
rnacentral:rRNA from 1 species